UUUAUUGUAGCAACACUGAUUACUGAUUACAUGUACUGCCUUUCUCGUAUCGACCAAUUUGAUGACGUAUCGUCCCGGCUUGCCGAGAGGGCUGCAUAAUAUUGUGUUUAGAUUCACCUCUGUUUUUACUGCGUUAGGCGUGAUGUGUUUUGAUCCACUUCUGUUUUACUGCGUUAAGUGUGAUGUGUUUUGAUUCACUCCUGAUUUACUGUGUUAAGAGUUAAGUGUGUUGCAAUUUUAUCUGUUUUCGGAAUUUGGAUUGUGCAUCUUCCCAUAAUAUACAACAACGAUUAGCAUCAACACUGUGGGCUUAUUAUCGUCUGAAGGAGUCCAGAUUGGAGUCACAUUCCACAACGCGUGUCAAAACAAUAACGCGGGAAUCGAACUUAAAUAUAUAGGGUGAUAGUCUUUAUCCCCACAACCAUCAGCAUCUCUUUCUCCCUAUACUAACAAUCUGGGUAUUUGCAAACAACCGUUUCUGAUCAUACUGAGUUUUGAUCAUCCGGCCCAGUAACCAAGUCUGUUAUCCGCAUCCGGCCCACUCAGGAAAGUAAUUGCCUACACCUGCAUUAGACGAUGCGUACAAUAGAUGGUUUUGAGGAACAAUGGGAGAUGAACGAAAAUUUCAAGAAAACCGUGGAUGAGUAAUUAGGUAUCCUCUCGAUGGGUUAUUGAAUGAAUACGGAAACCUGCUUUAUAUAAUAACUUUUACAUUUCGACGAACAAAAAAUACUUGUAAACCAUAAUUGAAAUAAAUUAUUGAUUUAAUUAUACAUUUGAAAAACAGU